UCCCUCCCGGCAAAAACGGCACACGACGACGGCUUCUCAGGCGCCGGCGCGCACCACGGGGCUCCACGCGACGCGAGCACCGCCAUUUCGCCGCCGCUCGCCGGGCGGCGAACCCGCCACCUGCUCGCGCCGUCUCCAUGCCUCUGCUCGCCCCCGGCAUCAUCCUUCGCGACGCGCGGACGCCGCGGGGGUUCGUCCAGCUCCUCGCCUCCUCCUCCUCCCCGCUUCCGCCAAGCCCGUCCGCCGCGGCGCAGUGCCAUGGGCUGGCCACCAAGCUCGGCCUCGCGGCCAGCAACGUCUUCGCGGGCACCGCCCUCCUCGCCUUCUACUGCCGCUGCCGCCGCCCGCGCGACGCCCGGCGGCUGUUCGACGAAAUGCCCGAGAGGAGCGGCGUCACCUGGAGCGCGCUCGUCUACGGCCACGCGCGGUCCAGCGCGCCCGGCCUCGCCGUGGAGGCGUUCGGACGCAUGGUGCGCGCCGGCUUCUCCCCCACGGCGGCGGCCGUGUCCAGCGCCCUUGUCGCGUGCUCGAGGAUGGAGGACGCCCGCGUAGGGGCGAUGCUCCAUGCCGCUGGCCUCAAGUGCGGCGGCAGCGUCUGUGGCAGCGUCGUCGUCGGGACUGCGUUGGUGGACAUGUACGCCAAAUGCCGUGAUGUUUCGGCUGCUCAGCGGGUUCUUGAGGAGAUGGAAGAGAAGAACGUGGCCACUUUUACGGCUCUUGUGGGCGGGUUCGCCUCAGCCGGAAGACCUCGCGAGGCCAUGGUGUUGGUCAGGGAGAUGGAACAGUCAGGGGUGGCACCAAAUAUGAUGACAUACAGCAGCCUUCUCAGCUCAUUUGCGGGUCCUGAAGACCUCAAUCAUGGGAGGCAAGCGCAUUGUGCGGUGCUAAAGAAGGGUCUCGAGCACAAUCCGUAUGUUCUGUCCACUCUUAUGACCAUGUACUCCAAGUGUGGCAUCUUAGAUGAUUUCAGGAAGGUGCAGAUGGCUGUUUCAUGCCAGGAUCAGGUGUCGCUCAAUUCCGUGAUCUCGGGGCUCUCCUGUUUGGGAAGAGGCGACGAGGCGUUUGAACAGUUCUUGGAGAUGAGACGGCAUGGCGCUGACACAGAUAUGUUCACCUUUGGCAGCAUGCUGAAGGCUAUAGGGAGCUCAUCCUCGCUGCUGGAGGGAAGACAAGUCCAUGCUCUGAUCCUCAAAACUGGGUAUGAGUCUGAUGUGAAUGUCCAGAACGGUUUGAUCUCCAUGUACGCCAGGCGCGGCGAGAUAGGGGAGUCCAGGGAUGUUUUCGCUUCGGUGGAAGCGCCUGACUUGGUCUCCUGGAAUUCGCUUCUGACAGGCUAUGCUCAACAUGGUUAUGGCAAAGAGGUGGUUGAGGUGUUUGAACAGAUGAGGAGACUGAAUGUUCAGCCAGACAACACAACCUUCUUGUUGGUGCUUACAGCUUGCAGCCACGCCGGUUUGGUGGAUACAGGGUUGGAGUACUUCAACUUGAUGAAAACAAACGGGUUUCUCGCAGGGGCGCGGCUAGAGCACUACGCGUGCGUGGUCGAUCUUCUCGGUCGAGCAGGCCAUCUCCAAGAAGCCGAGGCUUUGAUCAACGACAUGCCUAUUGAACCUGGCGUCUCGGUGUACAGAGCUCUGCUUAGUGCCUGCCAGAUCCACGGCAACCUUGAGAUCGCGAUCCGGGUGACCACACGCCUGAUCGAGCUCUACCCGCACGACUCCUCUGCCCAUGUUCAGCUGUCAAAGGCCUUUGCCGGUGAUGGCCACUGGGGUGAUGCUGCCGAGGUCAGGGAGGCCAUGGCAGGUAAAGGGAUAGUGAAGAACCCUGCUUGGAGCUGUGUCGAGGACCGGGUACAGGUUGGAUAAGAAGGUUGAGAUCCCAUAAAUUUGCCGUUGUUAACUGGGAGUGACUUAAUGGUCAGCUUUAUUGUAGUGUUAACUGAAGGUAAUGCCAGAAACCACUCAUAAAUCCAAUGAACCUCUGAAAUCUGUCUGAUAAAUUUCGGAGAGCAGAGAUGGCUCAUGGCAUCAAUGGAUAAGAAAGCACAGAUCAUGUGCCAUCACAGUAUCCUGUACUUAUACGGCAUUAAAGCACAUGAAUUACAGCACAUUUGAUAAAAUUUCCUGAUAUUGCAAGGAUUUUGCGCUACUGAAACCAAGACCACUCGAGUGCUGGGUAACCAAAGCCUAUGGUUUAAACUGUCAGGACCCGAAUCUGAUGCAUGAAGAAAACAGGUUGUUAUGUCAGACCUAUAAUCGUUUUUAGGGAUAUCAACACCUGUACCUCAGUUAACUGAUACAGGCUAGUACUCCCUCCGUUCCGAAUUACUUGUCGCAGGUAUGGAUGUAUCUAGAUGUAUUUUAGUUCUAGAUACAUCCAUUUCUGCGACGAGUAAUUUGGAACGGAGGGAGUAGAUAAGAAGGCAAAGACCUUUGACAGCAAUGUUGAUAAAAAUCCCUGAUACUCCAAGAGUUCAUGCUGCUGGAAACAAGAUAUCGGACCGCCGACUGACGAAAAGCUAAGAUUAAAUUCAUGAGGACCCCAGGUUUGACACAUGAAGAUGAAGAGCAGCUUAAUUCUCCAAAUUCUGUGUGCACGCGCGCACGCAGGCAGGCAGCUUGGUGCCACCUGAAGCAUGGCUGGGCCGGCCGGGCCUUUCUGCCUUGGGCCAGAACACACGUGCGCAGGCUCCCCUCCGAUACCACCGAGGCGAGGAGGAGGAGGAGAGAGCGACCACGGCUUCCCACCACCAGAUCGACCGACGAAUCCUCUUCCUCCUCCUCCGCGCCCUCGCCUCCUGUCGCCACCGCAAGCAAGGCAAGGCAAUGCCGGCGGCGGCGGCCUCGUUGUUGCGGGCGGCAAACCGCGGGUAGACAGGCGCCAAAUCUUGGGGAAGCCCGCCCGCCCCCUCCUAACAUUCUUCACCGUUUCUUCUUUAUAAAAAUCCUCUCUUGGCUCUUCCUCCCCGAUUCUGUAUAUAUUCGCUGCUGCU